rnacentral:rRNA from 1 species
ACUACGGUGCUGAAGUAACAAAUGCCCUGCUUCCAGGAAAAGCCUCUAAGCAUCAGGUAACAUCAAAUCGUACCCCAAACCGACACAGGUGGUCAGGUAGAGAAUACCAAGGCGCUUGAGAGAACUCGGGUGAAGGAACUAGGCAAAAUGGUGCCGUAACUUCGGGAGAAGGCACGCUGGUGUGUAGGUGAAGUCCCUGCGGAUGGAGCUGAGACCAGUCGAAGAUACCAGCUGGCUGCAACUGUUUAUUAAAAACACAGCACUGUGCAAACACGAAAGUGGACGUAUACGGUGUGACGCCUGCCCGGUGCCGGAAGGUUAAUUGAUGGGGUUAUCCGUAAGGAGAAGCUCUUGAUCGAAGCCCCGGUAAACGGCGGCCGUAACUAUAACGGUCCUAAGGUAGCGAAAUUCCUUGUCGGGUAAGUUCCGACCUGCACGAAUGGCGUAAUGAUGGCCAGGCUGUCUCCACCCGAGACUCAGUGAAAUUGAACUCGCUGUGAAGAUGCAGUGUACCCGCGGCAAGACGGAAAGACCCCGUGAACCUUUACUAUAGCUUGACACUGAACAUUGAGCCUUGAUGUGUAGGAUAGGUGGGAGGCUUUGAAGCGUGGACGCCAGUCUGCGUGGAGCCAACCUUGAAAUACCACCCUUUAAUGUUUGAUGUUCUAACGUUGGCCCCUGACCGGGGUUGCGGACAGUGUCUGGUGGGUAGUUUGACUGGGGCGGUCUCCUCCCAAAGCGUAACGGAGGAGCACGAAGGUUAGCUAAUCCUGGUCGGACAUCAGGAGGUUAGUGCAAUGGCAUAAGCUAGCUUGACUGCGAGCGUGACGGCGCGAGCAGGUGCGAAAGCAGGUCAUAGUGAUCCGGUGGUUCUGAAUGGAAGGGCCAUCGCUCAACGGAUAAAAGGUACUCCGGGGAUAACAGGCUGAUACCGCCCAAGAGUUCAUAUCGACGGCGGUGUUUGGCACCUCGAUGUCGGCUCAUCACAUCCUGGGGCUGAAGUAGGUCCCAAGGGUAUGGCUGUUCGCCAUUUAAAGUGGUACGCGAGCUGGGUUUAGAACGUCGUGAGACAGUUCGGUCCCUAUCUGCCGUGGGCGCUGGAGAAUUGAGGGGGGCUGCUCCUAGUACGAGAGGACCGGAGUGGACGCAUCACUGGUGUUCGGGUUGUCAUGCCAAUGGCACUGCCCGGUAGCUAAAUGCGGAAGAGAUAAGUGCUGAAAGCAUCUAAGCACGAAACUUGCCCCGAGAUGAGUUCUCCCUGAGACUUUAAGUCUCCUGAAGGAACGUUGAAGACGACGACGUUGAUAGGCCGGGUGUGUAAGCGCAGCGAUGCGUUGAGCUAACCGGUACUAAUGAACCGUGAGGCUUAACCUU